rnacentral:tmRNA from 1 species
GGGAGCGACUUGGCUUCGACAGGAGUAAGUCUGCUUAGAUGGCAUGUCGCUUUGGGCAAAGCGUAAAAAGCCCAAAUAAAAUUAAACGCAAACAACGUUAAAUUCGCUCCUGCUUACGCUAAAGUUGCGUAAGUUCAGUUGAGCCUGAAAUUUAAGUCAUACUAUCUAGCUUAAUUUUCGGUCAUUUUUGAUAGUGUAGCCUUGCGUUUGACAAGCGUUGAGGUGAAAUAAAGUCUUAGCCUUGCUUUUAAGUUUUGGAAGAUGAGCGAAGUAGGGUGAAGUAGUCAUCUUUGCUAAGCAUGUAGAGGUCUUUGUGGGAUUAUUUUUGGACAGGGGUUCGAUUCCCCUCGCUUCCACCA